GUACACAAAAAUGCACAUAUUGUGAGCUCGAUGAGUAGGGCGGGACACGUGGUAUCCUGUCUGAAUAUGGGGGGACCAUCCUCCAAGGCUAAAUACUCCUGACUGACCGAUAGUGAACCAGUACCGUGAGGGAAAGGCGAAAAGAACCCCGGCGAGGGGAGUGAAAAAGAACCUGAAACCGUGUACGUACAAGCAGUGGGAGCCUCUUAAUGGGGUGACUGCGUACCUUUUGUAUAAUGGGUCAGCGACUUAUAUUCUGUAGCAAGGUUAACCGAAUAGGGGAGCCGAAGGGAAACCGAGUCUUAACUGGGCGUUAAGUUGCAGGGUAUAGACCCGAAACCCGGUGAUCUAGCCAUGGGCAGGUUGAAGGUUGGGUAACACUAACUGGAGGACCGAACCGACUAAUGUUGAAAAAUUAGCGGAUGACUUGUGGCUGGGGGUGAAAGGCCAAUCAAACCGGGAGAUAGCUGGUUCUCCCCGAAAGCUAUUUAGGUAGCGCCUCGUGAAUUCAUCUCCGGGGGUAGAGCACUGUUUCGGCAAGGGGGUCAUCCCGACUUACCAACCCGAUGCAAACUGCGAAUACCGGAGAAUGUUAUCACGGGAGACACACGGCGGGUGCUAACGUCCGUCGUGAAGAGGGAAACAACCCAGACCGCCAGCUAAGGUCCCAAAGUCAUGGUUAAGUGGGAAACGAUGUGGGAAGGCCCAGACAGCCAGGAUGUUGGCUUAGAAGCAGCCAUCAUUUAAAGAAAGCGUAAUAGCUCACUGGUCGAGUCGGCCUGCGCGGAAGAUGUAACGGGGCUAAACCAUGCACCGAAGCUGCGGCAGCGACACUAUGUGUUGUUGGGUAGGGGAGCGUUCUGUAAGCCUGUGAAGGUGGCCUGUGAGGGUUGCUGGAGGUAUCAGAAGUGCGAAUGCUGACAUAAGUAACGAUAAAGCGGGUGAAAAGCCCGCUCGCCGGAAGACCAAGGGUUCCUGUCCAACGUUAAUCGGGGCAGGGUGAGUCGACCCCUAAGGCGAGGCCGAAAGGCGUAGUCGAUGGGAAACAGGUUAAUAUUCCUGUACUUGGUGUUACUGCGAAGGGGGGACGGAGAAGGCUAUGUUGGCCGGGCGACGGUUGUCCCGGUUUAAGCGUGUAGGCUGGUUUUCCAGGCAAAUCCGGAAAACCAAGGCUGAGGCGUGAUGACGAGGCACUACGGUGCUGAAGCGACAAAUGCCCUGCUUCCAGGAAAAGCCUCUAAGCAUCAGGUAACAUCAAAUCGUACCCCAAACCGACACAGGUGGUCAGGUAGAGAAUACCAAGGCGCUUGAGAGAACUCGGGUGAAGGAACUAGGCAAAAUGGUGCCGUAACUUCGGGAGAAGGCACGCUGAUAUGUAGGUGAAGCGACUUGCUCGUGGAGCUGAAAUCAGUCGAAGAUACCAGCUGGCUGCAACUGUUUAUUAAAAACACAGCACUGUGCAAACACGAAAGUGGACGUAUACGGUGUGACGCCUGCCCGGUGCCGGAAGGUUAAUUGAUGGGGUUAGCGGUAACGCGAAGCUCUUGAUCGAAGCCCCGGUAAACGGCGGCCGUAACUAUAACGGUCCUAAGGUAGCGAAAUUCCUUGUCGGGUAAGUUCCGACCUGCACGAAUGGCGUAAUGAUGGCCAGGCUGUCUCCACCCGAGACUCAGUGAAAUUGAACUCGCUGUGAAGAUGCAGUGUACCCGCGGCAAGACGGAAAGACCCCGUGAACCUUUACUAUAGCUUGACACUGAACAUUGAGCCUUGAUGUGUAGGAUAGGUGGGAGGCUUUGAAGUGUGGACGCCAGUCUGCAUGGAGCCGACCUUGAAAUACCACCCUUUAAUGUUUGAUGUUCUAACGUUGGCCCGUAAUCCGGGUUGCGGACAGUGUCUGGUGGGUAGUUUGACUGGGGCGGUCUCCUCCUAAAGAGUAACGGAGGAGCACGAAGGUUGGCUAAUCCUGGUCGGACAUCAGGAGGUUAGUGCAAUGGCAUAAGCCAGCUUGACUGCGAGCGUGACGGCGCGAGCAGGUGCGAAAGCAGGUCAUAGUGAUCCGGUGGUUCUGAAUGGAAGGGCCAUCGCUCAACGGAUAAAAGGUACUCCGGGGAUAACAGGCUGAUACCGCCCAAGAGUUCAUAUCGACGGCGGUGUUUGGCACCUCGAUGUCGGCUCAUCACAUCCUGGGGCUGAAGUAGGUCCCAAGGGUAUGGCUGUUCGCCAUUUAAAGUGGUACGCGAGCUGGGUUUAGAACGUCGUGAGACAGUUCGGUCCCUAUCUGCCGUGGGCGCUGGAGAACUGAGGGGGGCUGCUCCUAGUACGAGAGGACCGGAGUGGACGCAUCACUGGUGUUCGGGUUGUCAUGCCAAUGGCACUGCCCGGUAGCUAAAUGCGGAAGAGAUAAGUGCUGAAAGCAUCUAAGCACGAAACUUGCCCCGAGAUGAGUUCUCCCUGACUCCUUGAGAGUCCUGAAGGAACGUUGAAGACGACGACGUUGAUAGGCCGGGUGUGUAAGCGCAGCGAUGCGUUGAGCUAACCGGUACUAAUGAACCGUGAGGCUUAACCUUACAACGCCGAAG
rnacentral:rRNA from 1 species